GACGAACGUUUGCGGCGUGCUUAACACAUGCAAGUCGAACGGAAAGGCCCUGCUUUUGUGGGGUGCUCGAGUGGCGAACGGGUGAGUAACACGUGAGUAACCUGCCCUUGACUUUGGGAUAACUUCAGGAAACUGGGGCUAAUACCGGAUAGGAGCUCCUGCUGCAUGGUGGGGGUUGGAAAGUUUCGGCGGUUGGGGAUGGACUCGCGGCUUAUCAGCUUGUUGGUGGGGUAGUGGCUUACCAAGGCUUUGACGGGUAGCCGGCCUGAGAGGGUGACCGGCCACAUUGGGACUGAGAUACGGCCCAGACUCCUGCGGGAGGCAGCAGUGGGGAAUAUUGCACAAUGGGCGGAAGCCUGAUGCAGCAACGCCGCGUGCGGGAUGACGGCCUUCGGGUUGUAAACCGCUUUCGCCUGUGACGAAGCGUGAGUGACGGUAAUGGGUAAAGAAGCACCGGCUAACUACGUGCCAGCAGCCGCGGUGAUACGUAGGGUGCGAGCGUUGUCCGGAUUUAUUGGGCGUAAAGGGCUCGUAGGUGGUUGAUCGCGUCGGAAGUGUAAUCUUGGGGCUUAACCCUGAGCGUGCUUUCGAUACGGGUUGACUUGAGGAAGGUAGGGGAGAAUGGAAUUCCUGGUGGAGCGGUGGAAUGCGCAGAUAUCAGGAGGAACACCAGUGGCGAAGGCGGUUCUCUGGGCCUUUCCUGACGCUGAGGAGCGAAAGCGUGGGGAGCGAACAGGCUUAGAUACCCUGGUAGUCCACGCUGUAAACGGUGGGUACUAGGUGUGGGGUCCAUUCCACGGGUUCCGUGCCGUAGCUAACGCUUUAAGUACCCCGCCUGGGGAGUACGGCCGCAAGGCUAAAACCCAAAGGAAUUGACGGGGCCCCGCACAAGCGGCGGAGCAUGCGGAUUAAUUCGAUGCAACGCGUAGAACCUUACCUGGGUUUGACAUGGAUCGGGAGUGCUCAGAGAUGGGUGUGCCUCUUUUGGGGUCGGUUCACAGGUGGUGCAUGGCUGUCGUCAGCUCGUGUCGUGAGAUGUUGGGUUAAGUCCCGCAACGAGCGCAACCCUUGUUCACUGUUGCCAGCACGUUAUGGUGGGGACUCAGUGGAGACCGCCGGGGUCAACUCGGAGGAAGGUGGGGAUGACGUCAAGUCAUCAUGCCCCUUAUGUCCAGGGCUUCACGCAUGCUACAAUGGCUGGUACAGAGAGUGGCGAGCCUGUGAGGGUGAGCGAAUCUCGGAAAGCCGGUCUCAGUUCGGAUUGGGGUCUGCAACUCGACCUCAUGAAGUCGGAGUCGCUAGUAAUCGCAGAUCAGCAACGCUGCGGUGAAUACGUUCCCGGG
rnacentral:rRNA from 1 species